rfam:Sarcophilus harrisii ctg7180001806108, whole genome shotgun sequence.
UCAAAGGCUCUUUUCAGAGCCACCCAUAGAUCUCAAUGAAAAGAG